GGGAUAGCAUUUUAGGAGUUUUAUGGAUUCCCCUUGCCACAGUGGAAUAUGCAACAGAUGAAGGCCCAGGUUCCUGGUGGAGAUUGCAUUCUGAAGUAAUAAAAAAUGGAAGUGAGAUUCAAGGCACAAAAACACCAACUUCUCAUGAGAUCUUACUAGACAUCUACUUUGCAUUGCCAUUUGAUACCCACAGAGAUUUAGAUUGCAGAGGUUUGCACAGAGAGACAACCCUCCAAUGUACAAGACAUUCACAUCAAGAUACAAAUGACAGACAG